GCCCAGAUGGGAUUAGCUUGUUGGUGAGGUAACGGCUCACCAAGGCGACGAUCCCUAGCUGGUCUGAGAGGAUGACCAGCCACACUGGAACUGAGACACGGUCCAGACUCCUACGGGAGGCAGCAGUGGGGAAUAUUGCACAAUGGGCGCAAGCCUGAUGCAGCCAUGCCGCGUGUAUGAAGAAGGCCUUCGGGUUGUAAAGUACUUUCAGCGGGGAGGAAGGUGUUGUGGUUAAUAACCGCAGCAAUUGACGUUACCCGCAGAAGAAGCACCGGCUAACUCCGUGCCAGCAGCCGCGGUAAUACGGAGGGUGCAAGCGUUAAUCGGAAUUAC
rnacentral:rRNA from 1 species